AAGGUGACUGCCGGUGACAAACCGGAGGAAGGUGGGGGUGGAGGGCGAAUCAUCAUGCCCCUUAUGACCUGGGCUACACACGUGCUACAAUGGAUGGUACAAAGGGCUGCCAAGACCGCGAGGUCAAGCCAAUCCCAUAAAACCAUUUUCAGUUCGGAUUGUAGGCUGCAACUCGCCUACAUGAAGCUGGAAUCGCUAGUAAUCGCGGAUCAGCAUGCCUCGGUGAAUACGUUUCCGGGC
rnacentral:rRNA from 1 species